UACGGAGGAUGCAAGCGUUAUCCGGAAUGAUUGGGCGUAAAGCGUCCGCAGGUGGCAAUGUAAGUCUGCUGUCAAAGCGUCUGGCUCAACCAGAUAAAGGCAGUGGAAACUACAUAGCUAGAGUAAGGUAGGGGUAGAGGGAAUUCCUGGUGUAGCGGUGAAAUGCGUAGAGAUCGGCAGGAACACCCAGGGGGAAACCAGCCGACUGGGCAUCUGCUGACGCUGAGGUGCGAGAGCGUGGGGAGCGAACCGG
rnacentral:rRNA from 1 species